AUGCCCGUGUUUCAUCACGCCAGUCAUCACAAGGCCAUGCCUCAAUAUCAAAUCGAUGCUGGAAACAAAAUAAUGCAAACAUUGAUAGAUGCAGAUGUGAAUAAAGAUGGUUGUUAUACAAAGGAUGAGAUCAAGAAAGCUCUAAAAGAUUUAGGUUCCUACAUCCCUGGAUGGAGAGCAAAUGCUUGCCUCAAGAAACUUGAUGCUGACAAAGAUGGCCAAAUUAGUGGUGAGGAAUUUGACAAUCUAGUUGAUUAUCUUCUUGAACGAGGUUUUGGAAAGAAGUAA
rnacentral:lncRNA from 1 species